UUUGGGUGUUCGGGCUUCCUGAAGGUAAUCCUAGGUUUCUGGGCUAGGGUAAUGUUUAAGUUUUUUGGCGUUAGGGUUAAAAUCAAUGUCCAAAUCCUUUGUAGGAACUCUUUUCUAACCUUUGAGAGCAAGUUAGACCAAAACAAAUAGAAAAAUAAAAAAUAUAUAUUUGGGGUGUUCGGGCUUCCUGAAGGUAAUACCCGGGUAUUAGGUUUUGGGGCUAGGAUUAGGUUUAAGGUUUUUGGCGUUAGGGUUAAAAUCACUGUCCAAUAUUUUUUAAGGAACAUCUUUCAGACCUCUGGGAGUUAGUUAGACAAAAAAAAAAGAAAAAGAAAAAAAAAAUUUGGGGUGUUCGGGCUUCCUGAAGGUAAUACCCGGGUAUUAGGUUUUGGGGCUAGGAUUAGGUUUAAGGUUUUUGGUGUUAGAGUUAAAAUCAGUGUCCAAAACCUUUUUAGGAACAUGUUUAAGACCUUUUAGAGUUGGUUACACCAAAAAAAAAUGUAAAAUGAAAAAAAAAUAUUUGGGGUGUUCGGGCUUACUGAAGGUAAUACCCGGGUAUUAGGUUUUGGGGCUAGGGUAAGGUUUAAGGUUUUUGGUGUUAGGGUUUAAAUCACUGUCCAAAACCUUUGUAGGAACUCUUUUCCAACCUUUUGGAGUUAGUUAGACAAAAAAAAAUGUAAAAUGAAAAAAAUAUAUUUGGGGUGUUCAAGCUUCCUGAAGGUAAUACCCGGGUAUUAGGUUUUGGGGCUAGGGUAAGGUUUAAGGUUUUUGGUGUUAGGGUUAAAAUCACUGUCCAAAACCUUUUUAGGAACAUGUUUCAGACCUUUUGGAGUAGGUUACACCAAAAAAAAAAUGUAAAAUGAAAAGAAAAUAUUUGGGGUGUUCAAGCUUCCUGAAGGUAAUACCCGGGUAUUAGGUCAUGGGGCUAUAGUAAGGUUUAAGGUUUUUGGCGUAAGGGUUAAAAUCACUGUCCAAAACCUUUGUAGGAACUAUUUUCCAACCUUUUGGAGUUAGUUAGACCAAAAAAAAACGAAAAAUGAAAAAAAAUAUUUGGGGUGUUCGGGCUUCCUAAAGGUAAUACCAAGGUAUUAGGUUAUGGGGCUAGGGUAAGAUUUAAGGUUUUUGGCGUAAGGGUUAAAAUCACUGUCCAAAACCUUUUUAGGAACAUGUUUCAGACCUUUUGGAGUUGGUUACACCAAAAAAAAUGUAAAAUGAAACAGAAUUUUUUUUGGGUGUUCGGGCAUCCUGAAGGUAAUACUAGGUUUCUGGGCUAGGGUAAUGUUUAAGGUUUUUGGCGUUAGGGUUAAAAUCAAUGUCCAAAACCUUUGUAGGAACUCUUUUCCAACCUUUGAGAGCAAGUUAGACCAAAACAAAAAGAAAAAUAAAAAAUAUAUAUUUGGGGUGUUCGGGCUUCCUGAAGGUAAUACCCGGGUAUUAGGUUAUGGGGCUAGGGUAAGGUUUAAGGUUUUUCGGCGUGAGGGUAAAAAUCACUGUCCAAAACCUUUGUAGGAACUCUCUUCCAACCUUUGGGAAUAAGUUAGACAAAAAAAAUAAGAUAAAUGAAAAAAAAAUAUUUGGGGUGUUCGGGCUUCCUAAAGGUAAUACACGGGUAUUAGGUUUUGGGGCUAGGGUUAGGUUUAAGGUUUUUGGCGUUAUGUUAAAAUAACUGUCCAAUAUUUUUUAAGGAACAUGUUUCAGACCUUUGGGAGUUAGUUAGACAAAAAAAAAAGAAAAAGAAAAAAAUAUAUAUUUGGGGUGUUCGGGUUUCCUGAAGGUAAUACCCGGGUAUUAGGUUAUGGGGCUAGGGUAAGGUUUAAGGUUUUUGGUGUUAGAGUUAAAAUCAGUGUCCAAAACCUUUUUAGGAACAUGUUUAAGACCUUUUAGAGUUGGUUACACCAAAAAAAAAUGUAAAAUGAAAAAAAAAUAUUUGGGGUGUUCGGGCUUCCUGAAGGUAAUACCCGGGUAUUAGGUUUUGGGGCUAGGGUAAGGUUUAAGGUUUUUGGUGUUAGGGUUUAAAUCACUGUCCAAAACCUUUGUAGGAACUCUUUUCCAACCUUUUGGAGUUAGUUAGACAAAAAAAAAUGUAAAAUGAAAAAAAUAUAUUUGGGGUGUUCAAGCUUCCUGAAGGUAAUACCCGGGUAUUAGGUUUUGGGGCUAGGGUAAGGUUUAAGGUUUUUGGUGUUAGGGUUAAAAUCACUGUCCAAAACCUUUUUAGGAACAUGUUUCAGACCUUUUGGAGUAGGUUACACCAAAAAAAAAUGUAAAAUGAAAAGAAAAUAUUUGGGGUGUUCAAGCUUCCUGAAGGUAAUACCCGGGUAUUAGGUUAUGGGGCUAUAGUAAGGUUUAAGGUUUUUGGCGUUAGGGUUAAAAUCACUGUCCAAAACCUUUGUAGGAACUAUUUUCCAACCUUUUGGAGUUAGUUAGACCAAAAAAAAAACGAAAAAUGAAAAAAAAUAUUUGGGGUUUUCGGGCUUACUGAAGGUAAUACCCGGGUAUUAGGUUUUGGGGCUAGGGUUAGGUUUAAGGUUUUUGGCGUUAGGGUUAAAAUCACUGUCCAAAACCUUUGUAGGAACUCUUUUCCAACCUUUUGGAGUUAGUUAGACCAAAAAAAAAGAAAAAAGAAAAAAAUAUAUUUGGGGUCGUCGGGCUUCCUGAAGGCAAUACUUUGUAUUACCUUUGUAGGAAGUCUUUUUCCAACCUUUUGGAGUUAGUCUUUUCUAGGAAAUCUUUUCCAACCUUUUGGAGUUAGUUAGACAAAAAAAAAAGAUAAAUGAAAAAAAAAUAUUUGGGGUGUUCGGGCUUCCUGAAGGUAAUACCCGGGUAUUAGGUUAUGGGGCUAGGGUAAGGUUUAAAGUUUUUGGCGUAAGGGUUAAAAUCACUGUCCAAAACCUUUUUAGGAACAUGUUUCAGACCUUUUGGAGUUGGUUACACCAAAAAAAAUGUAUAAUGAAAAAAAAAUUAUUUUGGGUGUUCGGGCUUCCUGAAGGUAAUCCUAGGUUUCUGGGCUAGGGUAAUGUUUAAGUUUUUUGGCGUUAGGGUUAAAAUCAAUGUCCAAAUCCUUUGUAGGAACUCUUUUCUAACCUUUGAGAGCAAGUUAGACCAAAACAAAUAGAAAAAUAAAAAAUAUAUAUUUGGGGUGUUCGGGCUUCCUGAAG
rnacentral:lncRNA from 1 species